AGGAUGAACGCUGGCGGCGUGCCUAAUACAUGCAAGUCGAGCGAACAGACGAGGAGCUUGCUCCUCUGACGUUAGCGGCGGACGGGUGAGUAACACGUGGAUAACCUACCUAUAAGACUGGGAUAACUUCGGGAAACCGGAGCUAAUACCGGAUAACAUGUUGAACCGCAUGGUUCAACAGUGAAAGACGGUCUUGCUGUCACUUAUAGAUGGAUCCGCGCCGCAUUAGCUAGUUGGUAAGGUAACGGCUUACCAAGGCAACGAUGCGUAGCCGACCUGAGAGGGUGAUCGGCCACACUGGAACUGAGACACGGUCCAGACUCCUACGGGAGGCAGCAGUAGGGAAUCUUCCGCAAUGGGCGAAAGCCUGACGGAGCAACGCCGCGUGAGUGAAGAAGGUCUUCGGAUCGUAAAACUCUGUUAUUAGGGAAGAACAAAUGUGUAAGUAACUAUGCACGUCUUGACGGUACCUAAUCAGAAAGCCACGGCUAACUACAUGCCA
rnacentral:rRNA from 1 species